GAGGUAAUACUUUAAAUUAGAAGACCUGGUUUGCAACCAGAUAGUGGCUUAGCUUUACUUCA
rnacentral:tRNA from 1 species